rnacentral:rRNA from 1 species
UACAGAGGUCUCGAGCGUUGUUCGGAUUCAUUGGGCGUAAAGGGUGCGUAGGUGGCGAGGUAAGUCGGAUGUGAAAUCCCGGGGCUCAACCCCGGAACUGCAUUCGAUACUGCCUUGCUGGAGUACUGGAGAGGAGAUUGGAAUUUACGGUGUAGCAGUGAAAUGCGUAGAUAUCGUAAGGAAGACCAGUGGCGAAGGCGGAUCUCUGGACAGUUACUGACACUGAGGCACGAAGGCCAGGGGAGCAAACAGG